rnacentral:lncRNA from 1 species
GGAAGCAUAAGCAAAGAAGGAAGUAGAACGGCGUGAAUAAGGAUUCAAGAAGGAAAUAAAUCAAAGCCAAGUCAAGUAAGGAAACUACACAAAAGAGGCGUGAAGUAGAGUCCGAGUUGGACAAGGCUUUGCGGAUGCGGUAAAGUCAAGUUCGAGUUGAACAAGGCUUUGAGGAUGCGAUAAAGUCUAGUUCGAGGUGAACAAGACUUAAAGACGUUUUGAUCUAUAAAUAGGGUAAUAUUGUCAUCAGAAAAGAUUACGCACUUACAUAGAGAGAAAAACAAAACAUGAUCAAACUUUUGAGAGAAUUUUGUAAGUUACUUGGGGAGUGUUGCGAGUUUGUGAGAAAUUAUUGUAAGAUUGUAGUUAAUAGUUAUUGACUGCAAUUAAGUAUUAAGCGUAGGAUAAGUCUAACAAGUUUGUAAAAUUUGAAAGACUUUAGAAGACUUAAACCUGAGUUUUUUGUCUUGGGUAGUUAGGAAUUAGAGUUUAUAAUUCCUCAGAUUACAUAGGUGUGUAAUCAUUGUGUUGUUUAAAGUUGAGAUAAAUAAUACAAAGUUGUGAACUACUUAAUAUUUUAUGGAAUUAUUUACUACAACUCUCAAACAGUAAAGAACAAGUAGUAAGUACGUGCUCUUUUACAGAAUUAAGGAGGUCAUAAUUCUAACAAGUGGUAUCAGAGCAAGAUAUCUUAAUCAAGAGUCUAAUAACUCAAGAUAAAGAUCACUAUGAAUUCUGCACUCCUCUCGGACAUGGUCAAGGACAACACAUCAACAUGCGACCCUUAUUCAAUGGGCAAUACUACUCAUGGUGGAAGGCUAGGAUGGAAGACUUCAUUCAAGAUGAAGAAUAUGAGUUAUGGGUGAGAGUUACUAAUGGACCUUUGAUGCCAACUAUCAAGGACAGUGAAGGUAAGGAUAUUCCCAAGCCUAAAUCUCAGUAUGGAGAAGCAAGCUAUAAGUUGAUAGGGAAGAAUGCCAAAGCUAAAUGUAUUCUAGUAUGUGGGCUAGGACCCGAUGAAUUCAACCGAAUCUCUGGAUGCACUUCUGUAAAACAAAUAUGGGAUACACUCCAAAAUGCACAUGAAGGUACUACUCAAGUUCGAAAGUUCAGGAUUGCUAGACUAUGCACGGAAUAUGAGUCCUUUAAAAUGAAUAAUGGAGAAUCAUUUCAGGGCAUGAUCACCAGGUUCACCACUGUAAUAAACGAACUUAUGGCAUUAGGAAAAGUAUACACUACAGAGGAACAAGUAGACAUGGUUCUUCGAACUCUACCGAGGUCAUGGAAAAUCAAAGUAACUGCAAUAAGAGAAGCCAAAGAUCUAACAAAUAUGACCUUAGAUGAAUUGGUAGGAGACUUGAAAACUUAUGAGAUGAAUGUUGAAAGCACUAAAAGAAGUGAAGGAAGUAAGGAAAAGAGUCUUGAUCUCAAGGUCACUGAUGAAAACGAUGAAUCGGAUCUUGAUGAAGAAGACAUAGCCUCGAUAAGCAGAAUUUCAAGAAUUUUUGUAAGAAAGGUAUGAAUUUUGGAAAGAAAUCUACGCCUACCAAGGAGAAAAACAUAGAAAAGGGUCAAAAUAGUGGAUGCUACAAAUGUGGUAAAACUGAUCAUUAAAUCAGUAGAAUGGAAAAGGGAAAGGGCUGAAAAAGAAAAAAAAGAACUAGCGAAUAAAAAGAAAGGGAAGGAAAGAGAGAACAAUCAGGCUAUGUACGCCGGCUGGGGAACAGGGUCAGAUGAAGCUGACGAAGAAGAGGACAUAUCUCUAAUGGCCAUAGAAGAGACAAGAAAUGAAUCUGAUUCCGAAAACAAAGAAAAUCAGGUAAAUCUCUCUAAUCUAAAGGAUAGACUCAGCUCAUUCUCUAAGAAAAAACUUUCCUCAUUCAUUUUACACUCAUAGGCACUAUACAAGAAUUAAAUAGUGAAUAAGGUCAAUUGUUAAAUACCAUGAACAAUCUGAAAUUCGAGUAUAUUGAUCUUGGAAAGAUCAACAUUGAUCUAAAGGAGAAAAAUAAACUUUUGCUGGAAAAACUAAAACAAGUUGAGACUUGUAAUGUAUCAUUGAAAAUGGAAUUUUUUAACCAAAAGGUAAUGGAUUAAGAAAAAUUUAGUGAUCAACUUGUAGGUGAACAGGAAGUCAAGAAAAUCAAAAGAGAAUUACUUCCAGAAAAGGAAAAUUCCAGGAAAAUAAUUGUUGAACUAGUAAAAUCUAAAAACGAGCUUCAUCAAGCAAACAAAUUGACUAAAUCUUCUAUGAUUGUAUCACAUCUGGGCAACAACACUCAAAAUAAUAAAACUGGUAUAGGGUAUGAAAAUAAAUCCAUAAAAGAAUUUCCUACAUUCUGCUAAAUAUGUGGAAGUACAGGUCAUUCCAAGAAUACUUGCCAUAAAACCAGAGUUAACUCUAACAAAAACAAUGGAAGAGGCCAUGACCACAAGAUAUGGAACAUGUAUGCUUCAAGAAAAAAUCUUCUUCCAAACUGGAUAAAUAGGGACUUUAUUCGCCCUUUUGAUAGUAAGAAAGGACCCAAGUUAAUUUGGGUACCUAAAACUAACACUUGAAUUUCUUUUCAGGCACAAGUGAAGGGAAUCAAGAAAAAAUGGUAUAUGGAAAACGCUUGCUCAAGGCACAUGACGGGAGAUAAAACUAAAUUCCUUUCACUUGAAGAAAAGGAUGGUGGCCUGGUAGCUUUUGGUGGUGGAAAAAGGGGACAGAUUAAGGGCAUCGGAGAAUACUCAAUCGAAAAGAUUUACCAUCUUGAAGGUUUAAAACACAACCUCCUCAGCAGCUCUCAGAGACAAAGGAAACAAGAUGAUUUUUCAUUCUACUGGUGUAGAAGUAAUCAAUCUAACAACAGGAGACAUUGUUCUAACUGGACAAAGGAACAAACAUGUUUACACAGUAGAUACCUCUAAACUCUCUACAUAAAAAUUGAUGUGUUUAAGUGUAAUGGAAAAGGAUCCUCUGCUAUGGCAUAAACGCCUGGGUCAUGCAAGUCAAGUACAAUUAAACAAACUUAUCUCUGACAAUUUAGUAAUAGGACUUCCUAAGACUAAGUUCAAAAGUGAUAAGAUUUGUGAAGCAUGUACCCGAAGAAAACAAGUUAAAGCCUCAUUUAAAUCUAAAUAAGUAAUCAGUACAACCAAAUCACUUGAACUAAUUCACAUGGAUCUUUCGGACCUGUGAGAGUUAAACGCAGAGAAGGAAAAAGGUACGCAUUCGUGCUAGCUGAUGAUUAUACUAGGUACACUUGGAUAGUAUUUCUCACUUCCAAGGAUGAUACUUUUGAGGCCUUUAGCUCCUUGAUAAGAAAACUUCAAAAGAAACUUGAAAAUAAGUUUGUUGCAAUAAGAUCUGAUCAUGGAACAGAAUUUGAAAACUCUCAGUUCAUCCAAUUUUGUUCCUCUCAAGGUAUUGAACACAACUUUUCUACUCUUAGAACUCCCCAACAAAACGGGGUAGUAGAAAGAAAGAAUAGAACUCUACAAGAAAUGGCAAGAACCAUGAUGCUCGCUAACAACAUAACCAAUCAAUUCUGGGCUGAGGCAAUGAACACUAUUUGCUACAUUAUUAGUAGAUGUAUGCCUAGAUCAAUCAUCAAUAAACUCCCUAUGAAUUACUUAAAGGCAGAAAACCUAACAUAUCACACUUAAGAUCUUUUGGGUGUAAAUGCUUUAUUCACAAUAAUGGAAAAAGCUUGCUAGGAAAAUUUGAUGCUAGAAGUGAUGAAGGAAUCUUCUUAGGAUAUUCUUCACACAACAAAGCUUAUAGGGUCUUGAAUAAAAGAACAAUGUGUGUCGAAGAAAGCGUACACAUAGUUUUCGAUGAAGAAAGUGCUAUGACUAACCAUGAUUUACAGGAUAAUGAGGAACUAUCAAGAACAUCCAGUGAAUCUGCACAUGAACAGGUGAAUGAAAGAGGUACAUCUACUGCAGAAAAUGCCACUAUUGACUCAAAUGAAGAUUCAGGAGACAAUUGAAAUGGGUCAAGGAGAAGCUGGAAAUAAUGGUAACGAGGAACACAAUGAGCCUGAAAUAAAGGGAUAUAAGUAUCAAAGAUCUCACCUUUUGGACAACAUACUUACUGAUCUUACUUCAGAAAUAACCACCAGAUCAGGGCUGAAAAACCAUUGUGCCUUUAGCGCAUUCCUAUCCAUGGUGGAACCAAAGAAGACCAGUAAAGCUCUUUAAGAUGCAGACUGGAUCAUAGCCAUGGAAGAGGAAUUGAACCAAUUUGAAAGAAGUAAAGUUUUGCAUCUUGUGCCUAAACCAUCAAACAGAACUAUAAUUGGUACAAAAUGGGUGCUUAGAAACAAAUUAGAUGAACAUGGUACAAUAAUAAGAAACAAAGCUAGGAUAGUAGUUCAAGGGUACAACCAAGAAGAAAGGAUAGAUUAUGACAAGACAUUCACACAUGUGACAAGGGUGGAGGUAAUCAGACUACUCAUAGCAUUUGCAGCUCACAUGGAGUUCACUCUGUAUCAAAUGGACGUGAAAAGUGCAUUCCUUAAUGGGUUACUAAAGGAAGAAGUGUUCGUUAAACAACCUAUGGGUUUUGAGAACAAUGACUAUCCUGACUAUGUCUACAAGCUUGAUAAGGCUCUUUAUGGGUUAAAACAAGCCCCAAGGGCAUGGUAUGAUAGACUGUCAAAGUUUCUCCUAACCUAUGGCUAUUCAAGAGGUAAAAUUGACAAUACACUCUUUCUCAGAAACAAAAGAAAGGAUCUACUGAUUGUAUAGGUGUAUGUUGUCGACAUUAUCUUUGGAGCCACAAACAAGGCACUCACAAACGAAUUUGCCAACCUUAUGAGCAAUGAGUUUGAGAUGAGCAAGAUCGGAGAAUUAAACUACUUUCAGGGGCUUCAAAUAAAGCAAACACCUACAAGUACAUUAAUUCAUCAACAAAAGUAUGUCAAAGAACUACUCAAAAGAUUCAAAAUGGAGGAUACUAAGCAAAUUGAUACCCCAAUAGAUACAACUACAAAAUUAGACCUAGAAGGAACAAGUUCUGUUAUGGAACAAAAAUUGUACAGAGGUAUGAUUGGGUCCCUUUUGUAUCUUACAGCCAGCAGGCCUGAUAUUGUGUUCAGUGUGAGAUUAUGUGCUUGAUUUCAAACCAACCCCAAAGAAUCUCAUCUCCAAGAAGUUAAAAGAAUUCUUUGAUACUUAAAAGGAACCACUGAUUUAGGACUAUGGAAUCCAAAAGGGAGUAAUUUUGGAUUGGUAGGGUAUGCUGAUGCGGAUUAUGCUAGUUACCUAGCAGAUAGAAAAAGUAUUGCAGGUAUGGCUCACUUUCUGGGUUCAUGUUUAAUCUCUUAGGGAUCAAAGAAACAAAACUCAGUUGCAUUAUCCACUGCAGAAAUUGAAUACGUAGCAGCUGCCUCAUGUUGUGCUCAACUACUAUGGAUCAAACAACAACUCAGUGAUUUUGGUCUUAACAUUGAGUGUGUCCCAAUUUUUUGUGAUAACACAAGAGUAAUUAACAUUCCAACGAAUCUUUUCCAACAUAAGAGAGCAAAACAUAUAGAUAUACGUCAUCACUUUCUAAGGGACAAUGUAGAAAAUGGUCAAAUUUCCAUGAAUUUCUGUUCUACUGAGCAACAAAUUGCUGACAUCUUUACUAAGGCUUUAGCAAGGGAACACUUUGAAAGGAACAUGUUGGCACUAGGGAUGAUAAACAUCAAUUGAUUAUUUCACAAAGGAAGGACUCAUUACUAAGAUUCUAAUCACCAUAUUAUGUUGAGAGUAUCGAAACUCAUAAACUAUAAAAGUGUUUUACAAUUAUUCAGGUAAGAAGGGAGAAUUUUGAGCUAAAAACGAACAUGCACACCAAUGAAAUUUUGUUAAGGUAUGUACACUAACUAUUGCUUUGAAACUUAAGAAAAAUUGAAAAAAAAACAAACACACAUACUUAUUCCUUUCCCACGUGCCAAAUAGGCAAUUAUGCCUAGUCUAUCCAAAAAGCUGCCAAAACUUCAAAUCAGGCCCCAUCCCCAAGAAAACUCUUUAACUUCCAUCCCAUAGAUCAAAAAGGCAGAAAUCCUACCAUCUUCCUAAACCUUCUUUCAUCAAGAAACCCAUUACCAAGACCUGCUCCCACUCGAAAAAAAUGGCCUCACCAUCUCAAACAAACCUCGAGUUAGCAAUUGCUCCCUUCCAAGAACUACCCUACUAAGUUCACACUUCAGAAGUGUUGUACGUUGAUGAUCUGGGUAUCUCGUACAAUGCAUACCCAAUACAAGAACUCGACAGUACUAUAGGGGUUUCAUCGAGUAAAGGGGAACGAACCAUAAAUUUGUCUAAGGCUGUGUGUGAAGGGGAAAACUCAAAAUCGAAUCCUUUAACUGAUGAUUAUACCCCUAUCACUCAUUUUAUUCCCAAACAGCUAAGGUCACGUCUUUGCAAAACCAAGAGAAACCACGCUGCUAACUCAAUGGAUGAAAACACCGACGAUGUUCGAUCUACACCUUCUGAAGUAUUUUCUAUGCAGAUGUCUAGGUCGGUGAAGCGAACUUUAAAAGAGCAAUUCAUUCUUUUAUCAGCCAAGAAACCACAUAUCUUUAAAAGUAAGUCUUCUUCUCAAACUGAGACUAUUGAUAUCCCUGAUGACCCAUCCGAAUCUAAGAAAACCAAAAAGGGUAAAAAGAAAUUAUCUUCAAAUGCUCAUAAGAAACGGGUUCGAAAGGGUCAGGCAAAACAGAGUCAUAAAUUAGUGGAUAAAAUUAACAAGAAAUUGGGGAAAAGGAAGAGACAGGUGUCUUCUGAUUCUGAAUGGGAAAAUUAGUCUGGGAAUGAGGGGGUCCAAACAAACAUGGGGGAGGGUGAGGUAUCUGAAAACAUUGAUGAUAAUCUUGACAGUCGUACAAAGAGAAUUCUAAAUUUCGUAAGAAGAUAUCUGGUAAAGGGCAGGGUGAUUACUGGGUUUGGAGGUGCUAAAAUGGGGGAAUUACUGAGUAUCUUACACGCUCAAGGGUGGAAUGACUUGUUCCUUCAGGGUAACAUAAGAAGGAAGAUGGGUAAAGAUGAAACUAGACAAUUCUAUAUUAAUGCCACUGGGUCGCCCUCGUCAAUUUCCAGUGUAGUUAGGGGGAAGAACAUAAAUCUUACUCCUGAUAUUAUUACUCAUAUUUUGGGGGUUUCUAAUACAAACGAAGCUAGCCCCUUUAGAUGGUCUACCUAGUGCUCUUGAUAUUGUUUGCAAGUUUGUGAAUGAUCCCUCCAUGGAAGAAUAUUCUAGAGUUGACAAAGGGGCAAUGCUUCCUUUACAUAGGCUGCUAUUUGAUGUGGUGCAUAACAUCAUUCUACGUAGGAAACAAAAACGUACUGAGGCUAACUACUUAUAUCUCACUUUGAUGAAACUCUUGCUUUCAAGGCAUCCCAUUAACCUGUCGUAGUUGAUGUUAUUUCACAUACACUUUAUUGGUGUUGAGGACAAAAAGUUGCACGCAUUAGGAUAUGGAUUUUGGUUAGGCGAGAUCUUUGAGUAUCUUAAAAUCCCUGUUAAGGUGUGGGAGGUGCAAACAACAAAGGAUGUUAUUGGUACUAUGAAUCACGUUGUUGUACCUGCUCCUCGGAGGGUGCAGAUGCUCCUAUGCAGAGGUUACGAGCUAAGCUAACACUGAAAGAUGAGGAAAUUUCUGCACUCAGAGUAUCUCAUACUACUGCUAUGGAUCAGUUGCAUGUCUCCUAUGGACUCGAGCAUGCCAGGUUGGUGGAAGAAAAUGCAAAGUUGAAAGAAGAUUUGGUGAAGUCCGAAGUUGCCCUUGAAGCUGAGAAAUACACAAACUCUGCAAAUCUAAAAGGCCUUUAUGAUCUAUUCAAGUCUACUUCUCCGUGUGCCUCUCCAUUAGCUACUUUUUCCCAGAUUCCUUUACUAAUCAACUUCCUCUAGUCGUGUGUGGUUUUUGCUUUUAAGUUUUUGAUGUGGUUUUAGCAUGGUUUAUACAUUUCUGACUUUAUCUCCAUGAUGUGGGAUGGCUUGUUUUUUCUGUAGAAUUGCCUAAUUUCUGAAUAGUUCUAUUUCCUUUUAUAGCUAACUGUGUUUUGGUGCUUUUAUGGUUGGUUAUCACUUGGAUACUAUAGUAGGUUCUAUGCAGGUUUGAUUGAUGCCAAAAACGGAAGGUACUUUAACAUUUGUUGUAUUCGUAAUGUAUGAUAUGUCAUCUUCAAAAGGGGGGAAUUUGUUAGUUUAAUAAGGAUUUUAAAGACUGACAAAGUAAUUGAGCAAGGAACAACUUGUACAGAAUCAGUCAAAGUGUAAACAUAAUUAUGAGUCCUAAGAGAAGUAGGAAGCAUAAGCAAAGAAGGAAGUAGAACGGCGUGAAUAAGGAUUCAAGACGGAAAUAAAUCAAAGCCAAGUCAAGUAAGGAAACUACACAAAAGAGGCGUGAAGUAGAGUGUGAGUUGGACAAGGCUUUGCGGAUGCGGUAAAGUCAAGUUCGAGUUGAACAAGGCUUUGAGGAUGCGAUAAAGUCUAGUUCGAGUUGAACACGACUUUGAGACGUUUUGAUCUUUAAAUAGGGCAAUAUUGUCGUCAGAAAAGAUUGCGCACUUACAUAGAGAGAGAAAAAAACACGGUCAAGCUUUUGAGAGAGUUUUGUAAGUUACUUGGG